ACCUGAUUCUGCCGACCCCAGAGAGGGCCCUCCAUCCCCGACCUGGGACUUACCCGGAUGAAGAUGAGGGUGUUGGAGUCUCCCACGCAGUACUUCCCCUCGGACACCUUGACCAUGGAGAACUGAACUGGGCACGUGCAGCGGCUCACCAGGCUCUGAACCUGCGGGCAGUGGGCAAUGGGUUCAGCCCUCCCCUCUGCCCAGGUAGCCAAGCUCCCCCUGCACGCUGGGUCAAGCCCAACGGGCGGCCUGCCUGCCCCCCAGCCCCAAGGCUUCUGCUGAGUCAGGGCUGGGGGCUGAGAAGCAAGUAGAGAAGACUUUUAAUGGCUCAACGAGAACAAGACCUUGAGUGGCCACCUACGGCCCAGCACCCUCGUGAGUCAGCUGACAGAGGCCGCGGAGUGUGAUGGUUAAGGUGGACCUUGGAACCUGACAGGUUUGGGUGGGAAUCCUGCCUCCACCGCACUAUAGGCCUUCGGCAAGCCGCACCAGGGUGGGCGCCGCGACGCCGAAGCACUGGGCCCGGCGGCCCAGCUCCAGCAGGCACAGCACCACGUUCUUCACGUUCUUGCGCAGCACCAGGUCGUCCGUCUCGAACAUCAGCACCUCUGGCCGGGGCGGGAGAGGGGAGAGGAGGGUAGGCAGCCUGAGAUCCCUGCCGACCUGCCCGGAGCAAGCAAGCGGAACAGGAUGGGUCCAGGAGCAAGAAGCAGUCUGUUCUGCUUCCCGUCCGCGCCUCUCACCUCCAGUAACCACCAGGCACCCCAGACUCAACUCCCAGCCCACACACAACCAGGCUGGGGUGAGUACAGGCUCUGGAGCCUGACUGCCAGCUUUGGAAUCCUGACGCUCCCACCCACCAGAUGUAUGACCUUGGGCUAGUCCCAGCUUCAGUCUCCUCUUCUGUAAAACGGGAAAGUAGUCUGUUUCAUGGGGUUGUUGUAGGGAUAGUUAUGUGUUUGCAGGCAAUGUCUGGCACGUGGUAAGUGCCCGA